GCCAUGGCUUUGCAGAGCACUCUGGGGGCAGUGUGGCUGGGGCUUCUCCUCAACUCUCUCUGGAAGGUUGCAGAAAGCAAGGACCAAGUGUUUCAGCCUUCCACAGUGGCAUCUUCGGAGGGAGCUGUGGUGGAAAUCUUCUGUAAUCACUCUGUGUCCAAUGCUUACAACUUCUUCUGGUACUUUCACUUCCCGGGAUAUGCACCAAGACUCCUUGUUAAAGGCUCAAAGCCUUCUCAGCAGGGACGAUACAACAUGACCUAUGAACGGUUCUCUUCAUCGCUGCUCAUCCUCCAGGUGCGGGAGGCAGAUGCUGCUGUUUACUACUGUGCUUUACAAGCAUUUAAUGGUUUAAUCAAGCAUGUAGUUUUUACCAGUAUACAAAAUGAGACUUAGUAUAAAACGGUCUUCAACUGUCAAGUCAGUUGUUCCUGGAGUAUUUUACGGGGAAAAGCAAACUUCACCAAACAUAGAGUAUCAACAUUCAAGUGCUCUUUUCCAUGAGUUUCUGAUUUUCAACUUAGGAGAGAAGAACAGCAUUUAAUAACUGCAUCCCUUGCAUAUGGGAUGUACGACAGGCUAUACCAGGUCAUUGACAAGAACUGCAAUAUGCAGAAUAACACAGCCAGUCCCUUCUUAUGCCACCAAAGAGCAGCACACAGGGUAAAUAUGAAACACAAGAGCAUAAUAAUUGUUGCAAGCAAUCUUGUUGUUUCAAACAUUUUCUUCAGUUGCUUCA